GAGAGCCGUGUGCCGGAGAACGGCAUGCACGGAUCGAUGUGGCGGGGAAUGGAAACGGAGCCGACGGCCAC
rnacentral:autocatalytically_spliced_intron from 3 species